AGUCGCCUCAGCCGCGGUAUGAGGGAGCGGGAGUCUUCCUUAGCUUCUCCGCCAUGGGUGUCGCUUCGUAGCCGGGCUGCUCCGGGAAAGGCCUCGUACAGCACGCAUUCACCAGAAUCCUGUCAGCUUUCCUCUUCUCAUCCAGAUGCCUGGCCAGGAUCCUCGAUAAGACCGUGACCCCCAACUUGGACACCCCAUAAGGUUCCCAGAUGAUGUGACAGCUACUGGUUUCCAGCCACACCUUGAGAACACUUGGCUUUGACUACCACUUCUUAAACUUAAAGGAAAACUAGACAAUCCACCAGCCCAGGAGGGGACAAGCAGGAUUAAUCCUCCUCCUCGUCAUCUCUGGCUCCAGCCCCACCCUGGCCCUUGCUGGCAUUCUUCCUCUUCACGUGGCUGGGUUUGGCCACCCCAAUAGGGAAGCAGAGGGAGAAGUCGAUGUGCUUCUGGGAAUCCAGGCGGAUAGUGAAGAACAGGAUAUUUACCACCUGCUCACGGACACGGAUAUGACACUGUUGGAUCAGCACAUGAGCGUGGCAGAUGGACUUAGCCAAGCCAAGCUUGAAGACCUGGGUCUGUAGGC
rnacentral:antisense_RNA from 1 species